CAGCAGCCGCGGUAAUACGUAGGGUGCAAGCGUUAUCCGGAAUUAUUGGGCGUAAAGAGCUCGUAGGCGGUUUGUCGCGUCUGCUGUGAAAACUGGAGGCUCAACCUCCAGCCUGCAGUGGGUACGGGCAGACUAGAGUGCGGUAGGGGAGAUUGGAAUUCCUGGUGUAGCGGUGGAAUGCGCAGAUAUCAGGAGGAACACCGAUGGCGAAGGCAGAUCUCUGGGCCGUAACUGACGCUGAGGAGCGAAAGCUUGGGGAGCAAACAGGAUUAGAUACCCCCGUAGUCCCUGUCUCUUAUAC
rnacentral:rRNA from 1 species